rnacentral:rRNA from 1 species
UACGUAGGGUGCGAGCGUUAAUCGGAAUUACUGGGCGUAAAGGGUGCGCAGGCGGUUAUAUAAGACAGAUGUGAAAUCCCCGGGCUCAACCUGGGAACUGCGUUUGUGACUGUAUGACUAGAGUACGGUAGAGAGGGGUGGAAUUCCUGGUGUAGCAGUGAAAUGCGUAGAUAUCAGGAGGAACAUCGAUGGCGAAGGCAGCCCCUUGGGCCUGUACUGACGCUCAUGCACGAAAGCGUGGGGAGCAAACAGG